GGGUCCAUAGCUCAGUGGUAGAGCAUUUGACUGCAAAUCAAGAGGUCAUUAGUUUGAAUCUUGUUGGGCCCU